rnacentral:lncRNA from 1 species
AUCCUUUCUAUACUAUACUCUAUUCUAACAUCUUCAAUAUUUAGUAUGUACUGACAUCAUAAUUAAAUAUCACGAAUAAAUAUUUUUUUAUUAAAUACUGGUAAAACUUUAUUGACGCUAUAUUAAAGCGUCGGUAUAUUUAUCGUGACAUGUUUACUUAAUGAUUUUUUGCUUGACGCUUUUAUAAGCGUCGGAAUUAUUUUUAUCGAUGCUUUAAAGCGUAGCUAGUUAUUUUUUAACGUGUUCUUA